UACGUAGGAGGCAAGCGUUGUCCGGAAUUACUGGGCGUAAAGCGCACGUAGGCGGAUUGCUAAGUCAGGGGUGAAAUCCUGGAGCUCAACUCCAGAACUGCCUUUGAUACUGGCGACCUUGAGUCCGGGAGAGGUGAGUGGAACUGCGAGUGUAGAGGUGAAAUUCGUAGAUAUUCGCAAGAACACCAGUGGCGAAGGCGGCUCACUGGCCCGGUACUGACGCUGAGGUGCGAAAGCGUGGGGAGCAAACAGG
rnacentral:rRNA from 1 species